CCAAGGGUUGGGCUGUUCGCCCAUUAAAGCGGUACGCGAGCUGGGUUCAGAACGUCGUGAGACAGUUCGGUCCCUAUCCGUCGUGGGCGUAGGAAAUUUGAGAGGAGCUGUCCUUAGUACGAGAGGAUCGGGAUGGACAUACCUCUGGUGUACCAGUUGUCGUGCCAACGGCAUAGCUGGGUAGCUAUGUGUGGACGGGAUAAGUGCUGAAAGCAUCUAAGCAUGAAGCCCCCCUCAAGAUGAGAUUUCCCAACUUCGGUUAUAAGAUCCCUCAAAGAUGAUGAGGUUAAUAGGUUCGAGGUGGAAGCAUGGUGACAUGUGGAGCUGACGAAUACUAAUCGAUCGAAGACUUAAUCAA
rnacentral:rRNA from 1 species